CGUCAUGUAUAAUGAAAUACAACUUUCAACAACGGAUCUCUUGGUUCUCGCAUCGAUGAAGAACGCAGCGAAUUGCGAUAUGUAAUGUGAAUUGCAGAAUUCAGUGAAUCAUCGAAUCUUUGAACGCACAUUGCACCCUUCUGGUUUUUUCCGAAGGGUAUGCCUGUUUGAGUGUCAUGAAUCUAUCAACGUAGUCAAGCUUUGCCUUGCUAUGAUUGCAUGAAUGAAGGUUGCUGGAAAUCUUGUCAGCUCCUUUUAAAUCGAUUAGCGGAAAAUGCUUUCAGCUCUGGUUUGAUAAAUUUUUCUAUGCCUUUGCUGAUGCUAUCAUCUUUCGCUUCUAAUUGUCCGUUUGGACUGUCUUCCAAAGACACGUCUUGAUUUUGACCUCAAAUCAGGUAGGACUACCCGCUGAACUUAAGCAUAUCAAUAAGCGGAG
rnacentral:rRNA from 1 species